rnacentral:rRNA from 1 species
GAUGAACGCUGACAGAAUGCUUAACACAUGCAAGUCAACUUGAAUUUGGGCUUUUAACUUAGGUUUGGGUGGCGGACGGGUGAGUAACGCGUAAAGAACUUGCCUCACAGCUAGGGACAACAUUUGGAAACGAAUGCUAAUACCUAAUAUUAUGAUAAUAGGGCAUCCUAUAAUUAUGAAAGCUAUAAGCGCUGUGAGAGAGCUUUGCGUCCCAUUAGCUAGUUGGAGAGGUAACGGCUCACCAAGGCGAUGAUGGGUAGCCGGCCUGAGAGGGUGAUCGGCCACAAGGGGACUGAGACACGGCCCUUACUCCUACGGGAGGCAGCAGUGGGGAAUAUUGGACAAUGGACCGAGAGUCUGAUCCAGCAAUUCUGUGUGCACGAUGAAGUUUUUCGGAAUGUAAAGUGCUUUCAGUUGGGAAGAAACAAAUGACGGUACCAACAGAAGAAGUGACGGCUAAAUACGUG